rnacentral:rRNA from 1 species
GUCCUGACCAAAUCUCGUGCCAGCAGUCGCGGUAAAACGGGGAGGGCAAGCGUUAAUCAUCAUAAUUCGGUCUAAAGGGUUCGUAGACGGCUUAUUAAGUCUUUAUCGCAAGAAGAGAUACUAUUAAGCUAGAGUUUAAUGGAGGAAGGAGGAAUUUUCGCAGUAAGGAUGGAAUCUAUAUAGCGAAGAGACCGCUAAUGGCCUAAGCAUCCUUCCAUAUUUAUACUGACGUUGAGGGACCAAAGCUAGGGGAGCAAGCCGGAUUCGAUACCCGAGUAGUCCUAGCCUACAGCGAUGAAUGCUCAUUCUUAAAUAAUUUUAAUUUAUUUUUAUGACUUGUUUUAUUAUAAAACGUAUAAAAGGAUUAAAAAUUUGAGAAUUAAGUGAAGACGUUAAGCAUUCCACCUGGAGAGACGCC